rnacentral:lncRNA from 1 species
CAAAAAUGGCCAAGGCUUUACCAUACCGAAAAUCGGCCGAUUUUUAACCAUGUGAGAAACGUCCCGAAAAUUCACAGAUAACUACUAGGAGGCCUCACUCUGAGUAAUAUGAAAGUUUUCUCCCACAAGAACCGCUCGGAGAUGCCCGGACUCAGUUUUUAUUUUCGUCCCAAUACUUUUCUUCCCAUGGACUAGUUGUGUUUCUUUGAUCUUGUGCAACCUAUUUAGGCCGAUGAUAGCCCGCGGAUAGGUGUGGAAACCCAUCUAUAUUGCACCCAGUAUGACACAGAAAAAAAGCCCAGGGCCUAGGGGUCGGGUGGGGCUCGUUCGGGUGCACAACGGUUGCGCCAAAAACGGUCCAAAAAUGGCCAAGGCUUUACCAUACCGAAAAUCGGCCGAUUUUUAACCAUGUGAGAAACGUCCCGAAAAUUCACAGAUAACUACUAGGAGGCCUCACUCUGAGUAAUAUGAAAGUUUUCUCCCACAAGAACCGCUCGGAGAUGCCCAGACUCAGUUUUUAUUUUCGUCCCAAUACUUUUCUUCCCAUGGACUAGUUGUGUUUCUUUGAUCUUGUGCAACCUAUUUAGGCCGAUGAUAGCCCGCGGAUAGGUGUGGAAACCCAUCUAUAUUGCACCCAGUAUGACACAGAAAAAAAGCCCAGGGCCUAGGGGUCGGGUGGGGCUCGUUCGGGGUGCACAACGGUUGCGCCAAAAACGGUCCAAAAAUGGCCAAGGCUUUACCAUACCGAAAAUCGGCCGAUUUUUAACCAUGUGAGAAACGUCCCGAAAAUUCACAGAUAACUACUAGGAGGCCUCACUCUGAGUAAUAUUAAAGUUUUUUCCCACAAGAACCGCUCGGAGAUGCCCAGACUCAGUUUUUAUUUUCGUCCCAAUACUUUUCUUCCCAUGGACUAGUUGUGUUUCUUUGAUCUUGUGCAACCUAUUUAGGCCGAUGAUAGCCCGCGGAUAGGUGUGGAAACCCAUCUAUAUUGCACCCAGUAUGACACAGAAAAAAAGCCCAGGGCCUAGGGGUCGGGUGGGGCUCGUUCGGGGUGCACAACGGUUGCGCCAAAAACGGUCCAAAAAUGGCCAAGGCUUUACCAUACCGAAAAUCGGCCGAUUUUUAACCAUGUGAGAAACGUCCCGAAAAUUCACAGAUAACUACUAGGAGGCCUCACUCUGAGUAAUAUUAAAGUUUUCUCCCACAAGAACCGCUCGGAGAUGCCCAGACUCAGUUUUUAUUUUCGUCCCAAUACUUUUCUUCCCAUGGACUAGUUGUGUUUCUUUGAUCUUGUGCAACCUAUUUAGGCCGAUGAUAGCCCGCGGAUAGGUGUGGAAACCCAUCUAUAUUGCACCCAGUAUGACACAGAAAAAAAGCCCAGGGCCUAGGGGUCGGGUGGGGCUCGUUCGGGGUGCACAACGGUUGCGCCAAAAACGGUCCAAAAAUGGCCAAGGCUUUACCAUACCGAAAAUCGGCCGAUUUUUAACCAUGUGAGAAACGUCCCGAAAAUUCACAGAUAACUACUAGGAGGCCUCACUCUGAGUAAUAUGAAAGUUUUCUCCCACAAGAACCGCUCGGAGAUGCCCAGACUCAGUUUUUAUUUUCGUCCCAAUACUUUUCUUCCCAUGGACUAGUUGUGUUUCUUUGAUCUUGUGCAACCUAUUUAGGCCGAUGAUAGCCCGCGGAUAGGUGUGGAAACCCAUCUAUAUUGCACCCAGUAUGACACAGAAAAAAAGCCCAGGGCCUAGGGGUCGGGUGGGGCUCGUUCGGGGUGCACAACGGUUGCGCCAAAAACGGUCCAAAAAUGGCCAAGGCUUUACCAUACCGAAAAUCGGCCGAUUUUUAACCAUGUGAGAAACGUCCCGAAAAUUCACAGAUAACUACUAGGAGGCCUCACUCUGAGUAAUAUCAAAGUUUUCUCCCACAAGAACCGCUCGGAGAUGCCCAGACUCAGUUUUUAUUUUCGUCCCAAUACUUUUCUUCCCAUGGACUAGUUGUGUUUCUUUGAUCUUGUGCAACCUAUUUAGGCCGAUGAUAGCCCGCGGAUAGGUGUGGAAACCCAUCUAUAUUGCACCCAGUAUGACACAGAAAAAAAGCCCAGGGCCUAGGGGUCGGGUGGGGCUCGUUCGGGGUGCACAACGGUUGCGCCAAAAACGGUCCAAAAAUGGCCAAGGCUUUACCAUACCGAAAAUCGGCCGAUUUUUAACCAUGUGAGAAACGUCCCGAAAAUUCACAGAUAACUACUAGGAGGCCUCACUCUGAGUAAUAUUAAAGUUUUCUCCCACAAGAACCGCUCGGAGAUGCCCAGACUCAGUUUUUAUUUUCGUCCCAAUACUUUUCUUCCCAUGGACUAGUUGUGUUUCUUUGAUCUUGUGCAACCUAUUUAGGCCGAUGAUAGCCCGCGGAUAGGUGUGGAAACCCAUCUAUAUUGCACCCAGUAUGACACAGAAAAAAAGCCCAGGGCCUAGGGGUCGGGUGGGGCUCGUUCGGGGUGCACAACGGUUGCGCCAAAAACGGUCCAAAAAUGGCCAAGGCUUUACCAUACCGAAAAUCGGCCGAUUUUUAACCAUGUGAGAAACGUCCCGAAAAUUCACAGAUAACUACUAGGAGGCCUCACUCUGAGUAAUAUGAAAGUUUUCUCCCACAAGAACCGCUCGGAGAUGCCCAGACUCAGUUUUUAUUUUCGUCCCAAUACUUUUCUUCCCAUGGACUAGUUGUGUUUCUUUGAUCUUGUGCAACCUAUUUAGGCCGAUGAUAGCCCGCGGAUAGGUGUGGAAACCCAUCUAUAUUGCACCCAGUAUGACACAGAAAAAAAGCCCAGGGCCUAGGGGUCGGGUGGGGCUCGUUCGGGGUGCACAACGGUUGCGCCAAAAACGGUCCAAAAAUGGCCAAGGCUUUACCAUACCGAAAAUCGGCCGAUUUUUAACCAUGUGAGAAACGUCCCGAAAAUUCACAGAUAACUACUAGGAGGCCUCACUCUGAGUAAUAUGAAAGUUUUCUCCCACAAGAACCGCUCGGAGAUGCCCAGACUCAGUUUUUAUUUUCGUCCCAAUACUUUUCUUCCCAUGGACUAGUUGUGUUUCUUUGAUCUUGUGCAACCUAUUUAGGCCGAUGAUAGCCCGCGGAUAGGUGUGGAAACCCAUCUAUAUUGCACCCAGUAUGACACAGAAAAAAAGCCCAGGGCCUAGGGGUCGGGUGGGGCUCGUUCGGGGUGCACAACGGUUGCGCCAAAAACGGUCCAAAAAUGGCCAAGGCUUUACCAUACCGAAAAUCGGCCGAUUUUUAACCAUGUGAGAAACGUCCCGAAAAUUCACAGAUAACUACUAGGAGGCCUCACUCUGAGUAAUAUUAAAGUUUUCUCCCACAAGAACCGCUCGGAGAUGCCCAGACUCAGUUUUUAUUUUCGUCCCAAUACUUUUCUUCCCAUGGACUAGUUGUGUUUCUUUGAUCUUGUGCAACCUAUUUAGGCCGAUGAUAGCCCGCGGAUAGGUGUGGAAACCCAUCUAUAUUGCACCCAGUAUGACACAGAAAAAAAGCCCAGGGCCUAGGGGUCGGGUGGGGCUCGUUCGGGGUGCACAACGGUUGCGCCAAAAACGGUCCAAAAAUGGCCAAGGCUUUACCAUACCGAAAAUCGGCCGAUUUUUAACCAUGUGAGAAACGUCCCGAAAAUUCACAGAUAACUACUAGGAGGCCUCACUCUGAGUAAUAUUAAAGUUUUCUCCCACAAGAACCGCUCGGAGAUGCCCAGACUCAGUUUUUAUUUUCGUCCCAAUACUUUUCUUCCCAUGGACUAGUUGUGUUUCUUUGAUCUUGUGCAACCUAUUUAGGCCGAUGAUAGCCCGCGGAUAGGUGUGGAAACCCAUCUAUAUUGCACCCAGUAUGACACAGAAAAAAAGCCCAGGGCCUAGGGGUCGGGUGGGGCUCGUUCGGGGUGCACAACGGUUGCGCCAAAAACGGUCCAAAAAUGGCCAAGGCUUUACCAUACCGAAAAUCGGCCGAUUUUUAACCAUGUGAGAAACGUCCCGAAAAUUCACAGAUAACUACUAGGAGGCCUCACUCUGAGUAAUAUUAAAGUUUUCUCCCACAAGAACCGCUCGGAGAUGCCCAGACUCAGUUUUUAUUUUCGUCCCAAACUUUUCUUCCCAUGGACUAGUUUUGUUUCUUUGAUCUUGUGCAACCUAUUUAGGCCGAUGAUAGCCCGCGGAUAGGUGUGGAAACCCAUCUAUAUUGCACCCAGUAUGACACAGAAAAAAAGCCCAGGGCCUAGGGGUCGGGUGGGGCUCGUUCGGGGUGCACAACGGUUGCGCCAAAAACGGUCCAAAAAUGGCCAAGGCUUUACCAUACCGAAAAUCGGCCGAUUUUUAACCAUGUGAGAAACGUCCCGAAAAUUCACAGAUAACUACUAGGAGGCCUCACUCUGAGUAAUAUCAAAGUUUUCUCCCACAAGAACCGCUCGGAGAUGCCCGGACUCAGUUUUUAUUUUCGUCCCAAUACUUUUCUUCCCAUGGACUAGUUGUGUUUCUUUGAUCUUGUGCAACCUAUUUAGGCCGAUGAUAGCCCGCGGAUAGGUGUGGAAACCCAUCUAUAUUGCACCCAGUAUGACACAGAAAAAAAGCCCAGGGCCUAGGGGUCGGGUGGGGCUCGUUCGGGUGCACAACGGUUGCGCCAAAAACGGUCCAAAAAUGGCCAAGGCUUUACCAUACCGAAAAUCGACCGAUUUUUAACCAUGUGAGAAACGUCCCGAAAAUUCACAGAUAACUACUAGGAGGCCUCACUCUGAGUAAUAUCAAAGUUUUCUCCCACAAGAACCGCUCGGAGAUGCCCAGACUCAGUUUUUAUUUUCGUCCCAAUACUUUUCUUCCCAUGGACUAGUUGUGUUUCUUUGAUCUUGUGCAACCUAUUUAGGCCGAUGAUAGCCCGCGGAUAGGUGUGGAAACCCAUCUAUAUUGCACCCAGUGUGACACAGAAAAAAAGCCCAGGGCCUAGGGGUCGGGUGGGGCUCGUUCGGGGUGCACAACGGUUGCGCCAAAAACGGUCCAAAAAUGGCCAAGGCUUUACCAUACCGAAAAUCGGCCGAUUUUUAACCAUGUGAGAAACGUCCCGAAAAUUCACAGAUAACUACUAGGAGGCCUCACUCUGAGUAAUAUCAAAGUUUUCUCCCACAAGAACCGCUCGGAGAUGCCCGGACUCAGUUUUUAUUUUCGUCCCAAUACUUUUCUUCCCAUGGUUUAGUUGUGUUUCUUUGAUCUUGUGCAACCUAUUUAGACCGAUGAUAGCCCGCGGAUAGGUGUGGAAACCCAUCUAUAUUGCACCCAGUAUGACACAGAAAAAAAGCCCAGGGCAUAGGGGUCGGGUGGGGCUCGUUCGGGGUGCACAACGGUUGCGCCAAAAACGGUCCAAAAAUGGCCAAGGCUUUACCAUACGAAAAAUCGGCCGAUUUUUAACCAUGCGAGAAACGUCCCGAAAAUUCACAGAUAACUACUAGGCGGCCUCACUUUGAGUAAUAUUAAAGUUUUUUCCCACAAAAACAGCUCGGAGAUGCCCAGACUCAGUUUUUAUUUUCGUCCCAAUACUUUUCUUCCCAUGGUUUAGUUGUGUUCCUUUGAUCUUGUGCAACCUAUUUAGACCGAUGAUAGCCCGCGGAUAGGUGUGGAAACCCAUCUAUAUUGCACCCAGUAUGACACAGAAAAAAAUCCCAGGGCAUAGGGGUCGGGUGGGGCUCGUUCGGGGUGCACAACGGUUGCGCCAAAAACGGUCCAAAAAUGGCCAAGGCUUUACCAUACGAAAAAUCGGCCAGGUUUUAACCAUGCGAGAAACGUCCCGAAAACUCACAGAUAACUACUAGGCGGCCUCACUUUGAGUAAUAUUAAAGUUUUUUCCCACAAAAAAGCUCGGAGAUGCCCAGACUCAGUUUUUAUUUUUUCGUCCCAAUACUUUUCUUCCCAUGGUUUGGUUGUGUUCCUUUGAUAUUUUGCGACCUAUUUAGACCUAUGAUUGCCCGCGGAUAGGUGUGGAAACCCAUCUAUAUUGCACCCAGUAUGACACAGAAAAAAAUCCCAGGGCAUAGGGGUCGGGUGGGGCUCGUUCGGGGUGCACAACGGUUGCGCCAAAAACGGUCCA